rnacentral:tRNA from 1 species
AGAAGAUGUGGGUUAAUUUCCCGUAAGUCUUA